GACAGAGGCCUCGAGCGUUAGGCGGAAUCACUGGGCUUAAAGCGUGUGUAGGCGGGCCCGUAAGUGUCUUGUGAAAUCCCACGGCUCAACCGUGGAACUGCUGGGCAUACUGCGGGUCUUGGGCCAACUAGGGGCAGCCGGAACAAGCGGUGGAGCGGUGAAAUGCGUUGAGAUCGGAAGGAACGCCCGUGGCGAAAGCGAGGUCCUGGACCCUUUCUGACGCUGAGACGGCGAAAGCCAGGGGGAGCGAACGGG
rnacentral:rRNA from 1 species